rnacentral:rRNA from 1 species
UCACCAGACUCCUACGGGAGGCAGCAGUGGGGAAUAUUGCACAAUGGGGGAAACCCUGAUGCAGCGACGCCGCGUGAGCGAUGAAGUAUUUCGGUAUGUAAAGCUCUAUCAGCAGGGAAGAAAAUGACGGUACCUGACUAAGAAGCCCCGGCUAACUACGUGCCAGCAGCCGCGGUAAUACUUAGGGGGCAAGCGUUAUCCGGAUUUACUGGGUGUAAAGGGAGCGUAGACGGCAAUGCAAGCCAGAUGUGAAAGCCCGGGGCUCAACCCCGGGACUGCAUUUGGAAACUGAGCAGCUAGAGUGCAGGAGAGGUAAGUGGAAUUCCUAGUGUAGCGGUGAAAUGCGUAGAUAUUAGGAGGAACACCAGUGGCGAAGGCGGCUUACUGGACUGUAACUGACGUUGAGGCUCGAAAGCGUGGGGAGCAAACAGGAUUAGAUACCCCAGUA